AUGGACCAUUCGUACCCCAUCUGGUCCUGAGCGCGCCGUCCACACACACCUGACGACUGCUCGCCCUGUGGUGUUAGCC
rnacentral:sRNA from 1 species